CCAUCAAAUAGUACAUUAACCAUUCAUUUCUGAAGAGAACUACCUCCACAUAACAUGUAUCUGUUAUAUCUAUAUAUACUCACCAAUCACUAUGCCAUUCUCAAGCAACACAAAUUAAUAGCAACAAUCAUUCUUCUUUACACACUUUGAGAUCAUUUUUAUGGUUGUUUGUGUUAAGCAACAUAAAACAAUGGGCUUUCACUUACCAGCUAUUAGAAGAGCAUCAUCUGCUGUUAGCCAAGAAUCUUCCAAAGCUGUGGAACUUCCGAAAGGCUAUUUCGCAGUCUAUGUUGGAGACAAAAUGAAGCGGUUUGUGAUUCCAAUUUCAUAUUUAAAUCAACCUUUGUUUCAAGAGUUACUAAGCCAAGCAGAAGAAGAAUUUGGAUAUGAUCAUCCAAUGGGAGGUCUCACUAUUCCUUGCAAAGAGGAUGCUUUCAUGGACCUCAUCACUUCUCGCUUGAAGGGAUUAUAAGUAAUAUUAAAGCAAACUCACAUAGACUAGUUGAGAGACACUUUUGUACAGAAGGUACUUAGAAAUUUCUUUUUAUCCUUCUUUUGUAUUGGAAACUACCAUCUCAGUGAGAUGUGAAAGAUGUAAAUAUUAAAAAUUUCUCCCUCACAAUUUCAAUGGAUUGAUACAUUUUAUCAACAAAUAUUUUUAGAUUGCUAUUGUUUUGUAAGUUCCAUAUGUUCUUCACAUGUUUUUUUUUAGCUGCCACUGUUGCAAGAAAAUAGUGUGUAUUAACUAACAAUUGAAAUUGGAGCUGAAUUUUGAGAGAUAUUAGCUGCCUGGCCUUAAUGUUUUCUGUAAUAACUCAAAAAAAAAAAUUUUGUGGGCCACUCUUCUUUUUCUUUUUUUCCCUAACCCUAAUCACACACAAACAUUCUCUCUCAACCUUCAAUCCCUCCCUAGCGGUCACCCUCCCUAAACCCCCCUUCCUCACUCACACACGGACACAAACUCACAACACACACAAGUCACAUGAACAAAGAAGAGAAGAAUGGAGGGAGAGCUGUGCUGCGAGGGAGAAGAGAGAAUCGCCGCUACGUGUCCUGCUGCUGCCCUCCCCACCGAGCCGCCGACCCCGCCACACCUCGCUGCCAGUUGCCACCAUCAUCAACAACGACGGAGGAGAGAGAAAGAGGCGAACACGAGGAGAGAGAGGGAAGCCUUUGUGUUGUUGUCGUCAUGCUGGAGGGCUGGCUGUCGGGGGAGCUGCUGCGACGAGCUCACCGCCGGCUAAGGCCCAUCGCCGUCCGUGGAGAGUCGUCGCCGUCUGGGUCGCUGCCGGAGGAAGAGAGCUUGCACAAGGGGUUGCUGGAGUGGCUCGCCGCUGCCGCAAGCGCCACCGCACCUCUGGCCGCCAGGAAGUAACAUUGAGGUCUCCGUUCUUCUGCCGUCGCCACUGCCGAGGUUUCUGGUUAAUGGGUAUGGCGCUGUUGUUGCCGGAACCACCACCAGUGCUGCCGCUACUUGUUUCCCUUAAGUCCAAGUCGUUGUGGUUGCGGAGAAAGUGGGUUGGAGCUGAGAGGAAAGGUUCCGUUGACGCGUUUGGAUUAUAGUUUCAACAAUCGAGAACUAUUACCAGCUCCAUCUUGUUGCUACUUCAGUCCAAAUUCUACGCUCAUUCGUUCCAUUCCACUUCAAUCCUCCUUACCUUGAAUUUGGCACUCUGAGUUUGGUAUCUUCGGUCCCAAGGGACCACGUUGUGAGUAGGUCUUACAUUUAUAAUUAUUUGACUGUGCAUCUAUAAUUAUUUUGAUAUAUACCUAUUAUGAUCUUUGAAUUAUACUCAUUAUAUUUGUUUUGAACGAUUUUAAAUUGAUUAAAAUAAUUGAUUUAUUAAAAUUAAAUAAUUCAUUUUUAUGAAGUUUAUACUUUUAGAAUUAUACAUGAGACUAUAUAUAUUUUUGAUGAAGUUUUGCAUUAUCCUAAAAUGUUUGAUUUUACUUAAAUAUCUGUUUUUGAAGUAUUUGUUAGUACUCACUUACUUUAAAAAUUGUGAAAUAUAUUUGAAAUCUCUUAUGAUUGAGAAAGUAUGAUUGAAAAAGAUUUCUGAUGAGAAAGUAUUAUCUGAUUUGAUUUGAUUCGAUAUCCUAUAAAUUUGAAAGAUAAAAUAAUUGUUGUAUUUGAAAUUAUAUGUUUUGAAUUGGUUUGGGAGGCUCGUAUUAGAAAACCGUAGUUAACGGCGGUUAUGACGUUAACUUAGAUGCAUCUAACUCAAACUCCAGCUAGCAAGGGUGUUGUUAGCCUAACGUGUAGGCCACACGUUAGAUCUGUUAUUCUGUUAGGACACACAAGAGGGAAGGGUUACCCAUAGAGGUGGAGCUGUCCAAGUGUGGACUUUUGAUUUGAUUUCUGUAUGAGAACUCCCUUAUUGAUUCGCUUAUUAUAAUCAACUAUUAUUUCUAAUUAAAAUUACUUUGAUGAUAAUGUUUGUAUAGUUUUAUGUCAAUUAUAGAUGUAUUGUCUAGUCACUGAGUUGCAAAAUUCACCCUUUUUUUUUUCUAAAAGUAUUUUUCAGGAACAAAUAUUCGACUAUGUAAGACUUUUUAUUCAAGAAUAACGGUCUGCAAUGAGUAUUUAUUCUUUGUCGAAUUCCUAGAAGUGUAUGCUCCAUAUGUCACAGGCAGGAUCCAACUACUCUUAGUUAUUUUAAUUUUUUGUUAAAAAUAUAUAACUAUUUAUUUUAGAACUUGUAAAUAUUUGUAAGUUGCUUAUUUAACUUAUAUUAGACUAUGUUAGGCUUGCUAUAGAAUUAUUUUCCUGAGCGUCGGUCAUGACUCAUUUUGGAUCGUGACAAAGUGGUAUCAGAGCUUAGGUUUAAUCUGUGUAAUAUGGAGCAAGUGUCCUAUGGUAGGAUCACAAUUGUAUAAAUAGAAGCGCGCCUAUUUGUACAAAUUGUGGCACUAUUAAAGGCCUAUAGGAUUGUCAUCCUUGUCCUUUAUGUCGUUGUUGUCAUCUAAUUAUUAUCAUGAGACUUUUGCCGCUUCUUGCCACUCGUUUCCUUCCCUUUGUAACCAAUCUCGGCUUAUUCUCUAAUAGAUUUAAAGUUUGUUGAAUUUCUUCAUGGAAAUAGAAUAUUUUGAGUAAUGGUACAUAUUAUGAAUUGAUAUUUAACCCCACUUUUAUCUACCUUAAGACAUUAAAUUAUUAUGUUGUUUUAGAUUUUGUUCGAUCUUUAAUUGUUAUGAUCUGUUUGAAAUGUAUUUAUUUGGUUUCUGGUUAAACAAAUAUUAAAUAAAUUUGCUAAUUAUAAUACGGAUGAUGGAUAAUUGAUUUUAAAGAAAUUAAGUCCGUAGCAUGAGUUUCUUUGAGAAAGCUUUGUGUUUGUCCAAGAUUAUUGAAAUUUUCAUAGUUGAAAUUAACAUUUGGAUGUGAACCAAAUUGAGUACUAAAGUUCUAUACUUAGUAUAACUGAUUGUAUGGGAAACACGAUUGAGCUUCACUCAGGGUAGGAUGUUCUUGUCUAUAUGUUAUUAAAUGAAUGUGUCUCUUAGAUUAUAGGUGAUUUCUAGUUUUAUAGACUUGCUUGCUGAGCUUGUGGAUCAUGGUGAUUAUGAAGCAUUUGAUGAUUAUUUUAAAUGUGUUAAAUUAUAGCUUGCCUAUGAGUGUUAGCCAUUGAUUAGAUACUUGUUUGGUGAUUCAUGUCACUUGAUUAGUAAUUAUUACAGUAACUAACAAGUAAAUAAUUUUGGUUAAUUAUUUUUUUGAGAAAUCCAUAAGGUUAUUGGUUGUUGCUGCUGUAAAGGAGUUAAUAAUAUUAUUUGUUGCUGAAUUGGUGACUGACGUGACUGUAACUGGGUGAAUCUUGGUUGUUAUCUUGUAAAAAUUUCUAUUGAAAGGAGGUAAUGAACACUCUUAAUUGCUUGUGUUGUUGUUGGAGAUGAUAUGCCUGAUUUGUAGUUAUAUAUGGCGGAUUAAUAGAUGUUUUGGUUUCUCUGAUACGAUGAGGGCUUGAUAAUUUCAAAUUGAAGUUUGUCAUGAUAAACUUCUGAUCUGAACAAUACUUUUGUGACACACUUGAGCAUCUGAAUUUUUUUUUCCUUCAAAAUUAAUUAUUUUAUUGACUAAAAAAAUUGUUCCAACUCUUUCAACAUACUGUUCUAACUUUUACUCAAUAUUUUUUCAUUGGUGGUCCAUUACAUGAUGCUUAACAUAAAAGUUAGUUUCUCUGGUUUGCACUAUAAGAUUUAUGUAAAAAUGUUUAGUAUUGCAUUCACACUCUCAAUAAAAAUGCUUAAUGACUUUGCCUUGUUUAUUUAUUUAUUUAUUUAUUUAUUUAUUUAUUAACAUUUUUUUAAAACCUAAUUAAUUUUUAACCUAUCAAAACUAUCAAGUGUUGUGCUUAUCAUGCAAUCUGCAUCUGUGCUAUGUGACUGUUUCUUUUAUAUAUAAGAUUACUGUUUUCAUUUUCAGAGUGGCACAUUCCCGACAAUGUUCGGAUGAAUGUUUAUUUUGCUUUGCUUGUUUGUGGGUUCAGCUUGUCUGUUCACAUGCUGUGUCUAUUUAUGUUUCUCUUUUCUCCUUUCCUCUAGUUUAAACUAUUGUUGUCCAUGCAAUACCUUUUUAUGUCUAUUAUUCAUACUCAUAAAUUUUCAUUUUGCUCUGCCCAAUUUGUUUGUGGAUUUGGCUUGUUUCUUCAUUUUUUCCCUUAAAAUGCUCCUAGCUUGUAGUUUUUAGUUGUUGUUGUACAUCUUUUUAUUUACCUCUAUGGCUUUUGCCCUUACAUUUAUGUUCUUGUGCGUAUUUAGAGAGCUGUAUUGUGUUACUUUGUAGUGACACACCGACGGUUUCUUUGGUUAUUAAGUAAUGUCAAGCAUCAUAAAUGUUUUUGUCAAUAAGCUAUUUUUGUUACUGUAUAAUUUUUUUAAAUGAUAGUUGUGAAAUGAAUUGAGUUGCGAAUGGAUGUUUGAUUCAGGUCUAUCAUCGCUUAUUAGGUGCAAAUGCUUUAUAUGCUUUUGGUUCUUGCGUGAUUGAAGACUAUGUGCUCUAGUGUAAUAAAUUUAUUAGCCUGUCCUUUUACAGCUUGUUGAGCUUUGAUUUAUUUGUUUUAAUACUGAAAGGCAGUGAGAUAAAUUAGUUUUGUACCUUUGGCUGGAUCAUCUUGGCUGAUAGGAUUGUUGAUUUUGUUAUGUAGUUUUAAAUUCUGGUGAUAUUUAGUAGUUGGGUUUGUAUUUAGUUACUCCUUCCUACUGAUGAUUUCAAAAAAAAAAGGGGGAUUUUUCUUUUUCUGAUUAUGUUUCAUUUGGAGAAUCAAUAUUUUCUAUUACCCCAUUGGUUUCGUUGGUUAUCCAACUAUGUCGCAGAUUCUACUUUAUUUGCCCAAUAAGGAUUUUAAUUUGAUUAAAGAGUCCUUACAUUGAGGGUUUUGUGUUAAGUUGUUUCUUUUUGGCCAAAUUUUUUUCCUGUAACAAUCACAGUGUAUUUCGAAUAUUGUCUAUUAGAAAAUUCUGAAAAUUGACUGUUUCAUUACUAGUGCUUUUGCUUUGGUUCAUAGCCCACAUCUUAGCUUGACAUUUCUUCAUACGUUAAGGGUUUGAUAUCAGUUGUACUGUUAUUCCUUAAAUUCGCACAUCAUGAUCUAAGUACAAUCUAUUUUAAAUUGUUGUAUUAACCUUUUUUCUUCCAAAGAUAUAUAGGCUUUGCAAAGCUCUUAACAUGAUCGAAUUGUUGAGGCAGUUAUAUUGAUUCAUUUGUUCGUUACUUAAUUGAUCCUAUGUUGUAUGACCUUUUUGAGACAUUACCUUGCUGGUUUUAAGUUGCUCAGGAUUGCAACUAAUUGGAAUAUGUUAUUGCCUUGUCGAUAUUUUUGAGCUUCACUAAAUCUGUGGUUUUAUUGCUCCUUGAGUGACCUGCAUUGUAAUGGUGGUUGAGUAGUGAAAAUUCGAAACUUCGCUAAAUUGGUGGUAUUGUUUCCCAACUAAUGGGAUUCUGUUUGUUUAACUGGUUGAUGAUGAACCACUUGUCUUUAGUUUAUCAGUUGGUGUAUAUGUAGCACAUUUGUUAGUUUAUUAUCUGGGAUUGUCGAUUGCUAACCUGAAGGAUGGCUAGGGCCAAUACUAUGUUUGAAUAAGCGGAACUGUUCAUUCUAAUAUGUUGUUCUCACAAUGCCCUUAAAGAACCUUGUAGAUCGAUUAAAUUAAUUCCUUUCUUCUGUUUAACUUCCUAUCACUUAUUACUUGACAUUUAAGGUUAAUAUGCAUAAUAUGAUUUGAAAAUGUUUUGCUGGCUGUAUAUUGCAUGCUUGGUUUGAUGUGUUGAUUAUGUUUGUCCCUAAGUCUAGAAUCUGGCCAUGUAUAUUCUACUUAAUUCUUCACCUUGCUUCUCUCCGUUCUCAUCCUUAUCCACCACAUAAUUGCACUUGAACUCAUGGAAUCUCACAUGACCGCGCUUUUUAAUUAUUGUUUUAUGUUUUGGGUGUAUUGUUGGAAUUUGUGUUACUCGAUAUGUUUUAUACUUUUUGCUAUGUUAUUUGGUCUCCAAUUUGAGUUUGUAGUGUGCUUUUGAGAUUUUUCAUAUUAAUCUAAUUAUCUCAUCUGUUCUUUGAGAUUGAUGGUGCUUCAUAUCGAAUCCUUUUGCUACAUUGUAUAUGUGAAUAUUAAGAUGUCUAGCAUUUGAUCGUUGCAUAAUUCUGCAAAAUGUUUUCUUUAUACAUUGGGUUCAAUUUGUAUCUGGUUAUGUAAUAUUGUAUAGUUAAAGUGCUUAAGUUCUUUCCUGCAACUUUGCUCAGAUAGCUUGAUUUUUUUAGCCUUGUUCUUGCUAUCUAAUUGUGCAAAUUAUUAAACUUAUGGUGUCAUGAUGUGGAUAUAUUUCUUUCGGAUAAGGUUGUCUCAAUGUUGUUUUUCUUUCCUUAUUCCUAAAUGCAUCAUUCUUUGCAUCAGCGUCUAGUUGUAUGAACUAGAUGUGACUUGUACUGUUGAAGCAAUAAUAUAAAUAGUAAGUUGGUUUGAAAUUUGGGGACCGAAUUUCUAAAAGGGGGGAAGAAUGUAAUAACUCAAAAAAAAAAUUUUGUGGGCCACUCUUCUUUUUCUUUUUUUCCCUAACCCUAAUCACACACAAACACUCUCUCUCAACCUUCAAUCCCUCCCUAGCCGUCACCCUCCCCAAACCCCCCUUCCUCACUCACACACGGACACAAACUCACAACACACACAAGUCACAUGAACAAAGAAGAGAAGAAUGGAGGGAGAGCUGUGCUGCGAGGGAGAAGAGAGAAUCGCCGCUACGUGUCCUGCUGCUGCCCUCCCCACCGAGCCGCCGAUCCCGCCACACCUCGCUGCCAGUUGCCACCAUCAUCAACAACGAUAGAGGAGAGAGAAAGAGGCGAACACGAGGAGAGAGAGGGAAGCCUUUGUGUUGUUGUCGUCAUGCUGGAGGGCUGGCUGUCGGGGGAGCUGCUGCAACGAGCUCACCGCUGGCUAAGGCCCAUCGCCGUCCGUGGAGAGUCGUCGCCGUCUGGGUCGCUACCUGAGGAAGCGAGCUUGCACAAGGGGUUGCUGGAGUGGCUCGCCGCUGCCGCAAGCGCCACCGCACCUCUGGCUGCCAGGAAGUAACAUUGAGGUCUCCGUUCUUCUACCGUCGCCACUGCCGGGGUUUCUGGUUAAUGGGUAUGGCGUUGUUGUUGCCGGAACCACCACCGGUGCUGCCGCUACUUGUUUCCCUUAAGUCCGAGUCGUUGUAGUUGCUGAUAAAGUGGGUUGGAGCUGAGGUUGCGGCUGCCGCAGUUUCGGGUUGAGAGGAAAUGUUCCGUUGACGCGUUUGGAUUAUAGUUUCAACAAUCGAGAACUAUUGCCAGCUCCAUCUUGUCGCUACUCCAGUCCAAAUUCUACGCUCAUUCGUUCCAUUCCACUUCAAUCCUCCUUACCUUGAAUUUGGCACUCUGGGUUUGGUAUCUUCGGUCCCUUGGGACCACGUUGUGAGUAGGCCUUAUAUUUAUAAUUAUUUGACUGUGCAUCUAUAAUUAUUUUGACAUAUACCUAUUAUGAUCUUUGAAUUAUACUCAUUAUAUUUGUUUUGAACGAUUUUAAAUUGAUUAAAAUAAUUGAUUUAUUAAAAUUAAAUAAUUCAUUUUUAUGAAGUUUAUACUUUCAAAAUUAUACAUGAGACUAUAUAUAUUUUUGAUGAAG
rnacentral:lncRNA from 1 species